rnacentral:rRNA from 1 species
AGUGAACGCUGGCGGUAGGCCUAACACAUGCCAGUCGAACGGCAGCACAGUAAGAGCUUGCUCUUACGGGUGGCGAGUGGCGGACGGGUGAGGAAUACAUCGGAAUCUACUUUUUCGUGGGGGAUAACGUAGGGAAACUUACGCUAAUACCGCAUACGACCUACGGGUGAAAGCAGGGGAUCUUCGGACCUUGCGCGAUUGAAUGAGCCGAUGUCGGAUUAGCUAGUUGGCGGGGUAAAGGCCCACCAAGGCGACGAUCCGUAGCUGGUCUGAGAGGAUGAUCGGCCACACUGGAAGUGAAACACGGUCCAGACUCCUACGGGAGGCAGCAGUGGGGAAUAUUGGACGAUGGGCGCAAGCCUGAUCCAGCCAUACCGCGUGGGUGAAGAAGGCCUUCGGGUUGUAAAGCCCUUUUGUUGGGAAAGAAAAGCAGCAGGUUAAUACCCCGCUGUUCUGACGGUACCCAAAGAAUAAGCACCGGCUAACUUCGUG